UUAAAUGUAGUUAAAAUAAUAAUCUCAUGUUUUCAUCAUGAAGUUCUCUUUGAGCGUUUAAU
rnacentral:tRNA from 1 species